GUCUACAGCCAUGCCACCCCGAACAAGCCCAAUCCCGUCUGAUCUUGGAAGCUAAGCAGGGUCGGGCCUGGUUAGGACAAUUCCAGGUGCUGUAGGUG
rnacentral:rRNA from 1 species